AACAGGUGACCAGGCCUGGAUCUUCCGCGGCCGGGUGGUGAGACCCACCUCCAGCCUUUAGUGUCCUGGACGAGCUUCUGCCUUUUGAGAAACCCCUUCUCUUCUUUCCUUCUCACCACAGCAUCAGCGAGCAAAGCUGUGGGGAGGCAGGACUUGGCGCGAUCUAAGGAUGCAGUUUUCAAGUCAGAACCGCCCAACAGCCGAGUAACUUCCGUUUGCACAGUGCUUUGGAGAGCUUUCCACUGGGUGAAAUCCUCGCGCAGACCUCUGAGGUUCAGAGAGGUUACGAUGGUUUUUGCCUAGGAAGUAGUGGAAGGACGCAGGGCUUUCCUACAACACGCAGCACCUCCCAGCAGAUGUUCUGAUACCCUGGUGGACAUUAGCUAGUGACUUAGGGGUCACAUGCUGGGCCUCCAUAUACUGAGAGCCUUUGCUGUCAGUGACCACAGAAAGGCUGGAGUGGGCGCCCGGGCCAGCACUAGGCUCAAUCAACAGUUACUUUUGUCAUCAAGCACGGGCCUCAGGAGUCUGGAGUAAAAUGGGCAGAAAGAGCCAGAAUAUGAAAACUUCUUCGAGGGACGCCUUCAGAUUGAUGGAGGCAGGAAGACAGAUCAGGCUGGACCUCAUCUCCGAGG
rnacentral:lncRNA from 1 species